rnacentral:tRNA from 1 species
GAGGGUAUAGAUCAGUGGUAGAGUGCAUGCCUAGCAUGCACAAGGUCCUGGGUUCAAUCCCUAGUACUUCCA